AAGCUGCGUGGCGCAGCGGAAGCGCGCCGGGCUCAUAACCCGGAGGACACCAGAUCGAAACUGGUCGCAGCUAU